rnacentral:rRNA from 1 species
UACGUAGGGGGCAAGCGUUGUCCGGAUUUAUUGGGCGUAAAGAGCGUGUAGGCGGUUAUACAGGUCCGCUGUGAAAACUGGAGGCUUAACCUCCAGACGUCGGUGGAAACCGUAUGACUAGAGUCCGGAAGAGGAGAGUGGAAUUCCUGGUGUAGCGGUGAAAUGCGCAGAUAUCAGGAAGAACACCCGUGGCGAAGGCGGCUCUCUGGGACGGUACUGACGCUGAGGAGCGAAAGCCAGGGGAGCAAACGGG